rnacentral:rRNA from 1 species
GACGAACCGUGCGAACGUUGUUCGGAUUCACUGGGCUUAAAGGGCGCGUAGGCGGUCACGCACGUCCGUUGUGAAAUCGCUCGGCUCAACUGGGCGGGGUCAGCGGAUACGGCGUGGCUGGAGCAAGCUAGGGGGCAAUGGAAUUCCCGGUGUAGUGGUGGAAUGCGUAGAUAUCGGGAGGAACACCAGUGGCGAAGGCGGUUGCCUGGAGCUUUGCUGACGCUGAUGCGCGAAAGCGUGGGGAGCGAUCCGG